rnacentral:rRNA from 1 species
UACGUAGGCAGCGAGCGUUGUUCGGAAUUACUGGGCGUAAAGAGUGUGUAGGUGGUGCUCUAAGUUUGGUGUGAAAUCUCCCGGCUCAGCCGGGAGGGUGCAUCGAAAACUGGAGUGCUAGAGGAUGGGAGAGGCAAGCGGAAUUCCUGGUGUAGCGGUGAAAUGCGUAGAUAUCAGGAGGAACACCUGUGGUGUAGACAGCUUGCUGGACCAUUUCUGACACUGAGACACGAAAGCGUGGGUAGCAAACAGG